ensembl:snRNA U6 U6 spliceosomal RNA
GCUCCCUUCGUUGGGACAUACACAAAAUUGGAAUGAUGCAGAGAAGAUUAAUAUGGCCCCUGGGCAAGGAUGGUAUGCAAAUUCAUGAAGCACUCCAUAUUAAU